rnacentral:tRNA from 1 species
UGGGGGAUCGUCUAGUGGUCGGACAACGGACUCUGACUCCGUUUACCUAGGUUCGAAUCCUAGUCCCCCAGCCA